ensembl:miRNA gmo-mir-129-2 gmo-mir-129-2
UCUUUUUGCGGUCUGGGCUUGCUGUUCCCACAGCCUUAGCCAGGAAGCCCUUACCCCAAAAAGCAU